CGCGGGGUGGAGCAGUCUGGUAGCUCGCUGGGCUCAUAACCCAGAGGUCAUAGGUUCAAAUCCUAUCCCCGCAACAA
rnacentral:tRNA from 1 species